rnacentral:tRNA from 1 species
GAGAGAGGCCCUUAAGCAAGGAAAACUGCUAAUUUUCCCGACCUUGGUUAAAUCCCAAGGCUCCCUC